UGUAUAACUGCUCUCGUAGGUGCGUCGGCUUCGGCGUUAAGAGGAAAGACGGUGUGAAUCCGUCACAAGCCAGUCCUUGCUGUAUGCGAAGGCUGCAACGGUCGUCGGCAUUUUCCUUGCCGUCGCAUCUCCUCCACAUGCAUUUGAUGGAGAUAGUCACUGGGAAACCGGGAAGGCUACCGUUAUGCAGGAUAAUUCGCGAGUCAGAAAGCCUGCCUGCAGGUUGCGCGGUUC
rnacentral:ncRNA from 2 species